rnacentral:rRNA from 1 species
CCUACGGGAGGCAGCAGUGAGGAAUAUUGGUCAAUGGGCGAGAGCCGGAACCAGCCAAGUCGCGUGAGGGAAGACGGUCCUAUGGAUUGUAAAACUCGUUUGUCGGGGAGCAAAAAGGCCUCGUGAGGCCACAAGUGAGAGUACCCGAAGAAAAAGCAUCGGCUAACUCCGUGCCAGCAGCCGCGGUAAUACGGAGGAUCCGAGCGUUAUCCGGAUUUCUUGGGUUUAAAGGGAGCGUAGGUGGAUUGUUAAGUCAGUUGUGAAAGUUUGUGGCUCAACCGUAAAAUUGCAGUUGAAACUGGCAGUGUUGAGUACAGUAGAGGUGGGCUGAAUUCGUGGUGUAGCGGUGAAAUGCUUAGAUAUCACGAAGAACUCCGAUUGCGAAGGCAGUUCACUGGACUGCAACUGACACUGAGGCUCGAAAGUGUGGGUAUCAAACAGGAUUAGAUACCCGUGUAGUC